GUAGGGAAUAUUGGGCAAUGGAUGCAAGUCUGACCCAGCCAUCCCGCGUGCCGGAAGAAGGCCCUCAGGGUUGUAAACGGCUUUUGACGGUGAAGAAUCGACAGGAUGCGUCCUGUUUUGACGGUAGCCGUUGAAUAAGCACCGGCUAACUCCGUGCCAGCAGCCGCGGUAAUACGGAGGGUGCGAGCGUUGUCCGGAUUUAUUGGGUUUAAAGGGUGCGUAGGCUGGAAGGUCAGUCAGCGGUGAAAAGCUGUCGCUUAACGAUAGUCUUGCCGCAGAUACUUCCUUUCUUGGAUGAGGAGGAGGCCACUGGAACGGAUGGUGUAGCGGUGAAAUGCAUAGAUAUCAUCCAGAACACCGAUUGCGAAGGCAGGUGGCUGUACCUUAAUCGACGCUGAUGCACUAAAGCAUGGGGAGCAAACAGGAUUAGAAACCCUUGUAGUCC
rnacentral:rRNA from 1 species